rnacentral:rRNA from 1 species
GUUGAACGCUGGCGGCAUGCUUUACACAUGCAAGUCGAACGGUAACAGGCCGCAAGGUGCUGACGAGUGGCGAACGGGUGAGUAAUGCAUCGGAACGUGCCCAGUCGUGGGGGAUAACGCAGCGAAAGCUGCGCUAAUACCGCAUACGAUCUAUGGAUGAAAGCGGGGGACCGAAAGGCCUCGUGCGAUUGGAGCGGCCGAUGUCAGAUUAGGUAGUUGGUGGGGUAAAGGCCCACCAAGCCAACGAUCUGUAGCUGGUCUGAGAGGACGACCAGCCACACUGGGACUGAGACACGGCCCAGACUCCUACGGGAGGCAGCAGUGGGGAAUUUUGGACAAUGGGCGCAAGCCUGAUCCAGCAAUGCCGCGUGCAGGAAGAAGGCCUUCGGGUUGUAAACUGCUUUUGUACGGAACGAAACGGUCCGGGUUAAUACCCUGGGCUAAUGACGGUACCGUAAGAAUAAGCACCGGCUAACUACGUGCCAGCCGCCGCCGUAACAC